CAUAAUCUUUUUCUAUACUUCAGCCUGAUUAACAUCAUAGCUCAAAUUAUAAGAAUUAGGGAGAAAACAGAGACAAAAAACUCUAACUUUCUCAGUGGAGAUUGAUAACAAUUGAAUAAGAGAACUUGCAAAAAGUCUCAAUUUAAUUACAUAUAACCAACACUUUCAAUUGCCAGAUUCAAUAAGUAAAGUGGUGAGUAAAACCCAGGUAAGGCUUUUCUAAGCACUCUAUGAACAGCAUAUCGAAUUCACAAGUUAAUCAAAUUACAAACGAAGUACUUACACUCAGAUACAAUUCCAGAAACCGUAAAAUAUUACAUAGAAGAAGGCAAUUAAUCAUGCGAGAGAGGUUAGAUUAACUCACGAUAGAGCUUGCCCAAGCAAGACACAGAGACGCCGAGAGCGAGGGAGUUCACCAAAAAGACGGGGGUCUACACAACGACGACGUUUUCGGUCUUAAUGAUAAAACCUAAUAAUUGACAAUUAUAAAAUGAUUAAAUCCUACACUACACCAGAGCUCAAAAAAUAACGCGCAUUUAAGAAAUUUGUCAGGCGAAAUAA
rnacentral:telomerase_RNA from 1 species